GAGUCUGAUGGAGCAUGCCGCGUGAGUGAAGAAGGGUUUCGGCUCGUAAAACUCUGUUGUUAAAGAAGAACACCUUUGAGAGUAACUGUUCAAGGGUUGACGGUAUUUAACCAGAAAGCCACGGCUAACUACGUGCCAGCAGCCGCGGUAAUACGUAGGUGGCAAGCGUUGUCCGGAUUUAUUGGGCGUAAAGCGAGCGCAGGCGGUUUUUUAAGUCUGAUGUGAAAGCCUUCGGCUUAACCGGAGAAGUGCAUCGGAAACUGGGAGACUUGAGUGCAGAAGAGGACAGUGGAACUCCAUGUGUAGCGGUGGAAUGCGUAGAUAUAUGGAAGAACACCAGUGGCGAAGGCGGCUGUCUAGUCUGUAACUGACGCUGAGGCUCGAAAGCAUGGGUAGCGAACAGGAUUAGAUACCCUGGUAGUCCAUGCCGUAAACGAUGAGUGCUAAGUGUUGGAGGGUUUCCGCCCUUCAGUGCUGCAGCUAACGCAUUAAGCACUCCGCCUGGGGAGUACGACCGCAAGGUUGAAACUCAAAGGAAUUGACGGGGGCCCGCACAAGCGGUGGAGCAUGUGGUUUAAUUCGAAGCUACGCGAAGAACCUUACCAGGUCUUGACAUCUUCUGCCAAUCUUAGAGAUAAGACGUUCCCUUCGGGGACAGAAUGACAGGUGGUGCAUGGUUGUCGUCAGCUCGUGUCGUGAGAUGUUGGGUUAAGUCCCGCAACGAGCGCAACCCUUAUUAUCAGUUGCCAGCAUUCAGUUGGGCACUCUGGUGAGACUGCCGGUGACAAACCGGAGGAAGGUGGGGAUGACGUCAAAUCAUCAUGCCCCUUAUGACCUGGGCUACACACGUGCUACAAUGGACGGUACAACGAGUCGCGAAGUCGUGAGGCUAAGCUAAUCUCUUAAGCCG
rnacentral:rRNA from 2 species